rnacentral:rRNA from 1 species
AACGAACGCUGGCGGCAUGCCUAACACAUGCAAGUCGAACGAGAUCUUCGGGUCUAGUGGCGCACGGGUGCGUAACGCGUGGGAAUCUGCCCUUUGGUUCGGAAUAACAGUUGGAAACGACUGCUAAUACCGGAUGAUGACGAAAGUCCAAAGAUUUAUCGCCAGAGGAUGAGCCCGCGUAGGAUCAGCUAGUUGGUGUGGUAAAGGCGCACCAAGGCGACGAUCCUUAGCUGGUCUGAGAGGAUGAUCAGCCACACUGGGACUGAGACACGGCCCAGACUCCUACGGGAGGCAGCAGUGGGGAAUAUUGGACAAUGGGCGAAAGCUUGAUCCAGCAAUGCCGCGUGAGUGAUGAAGGCCUUAGGGUUGUAAAGCUCUUUUACCCGGGAUGAUAAUGACAGUACCGGGAGAAUAAGCUCCGGCUAACUCCGUGCCAGCCGCCGCGGUAA